rnacentral:rRNA from 1 species
ACGUAGGGGGCAAGCGUUAUCCGGAUUUACUGGGUGUAAAGGGAGCGUAGACGGCUUAGCAAGUCUGAAGUGAAAGCCCGGGGCUCAACCCCGGGACUGCUUUGGAAACUGUUGAGCUGGAGUGCUGGAGAGGUAAGCGGAAUUCCUAGUGUAGCGGUGAAAUGCGUAGAUAUUAGGAGGAACACCAGUGGCGAAGGCGGCUUACUGGACAGUAACUGACGUUGAGGCUCGAAAGCGUGGGGAGCAAACAG